UUUAUUAUGUGACUGGUUUCGAUGAUUACGAUAAGAUGACCCCCUUUAUUUGGGGCUUUAGUUUGGGCUUGGUUCUGGAGCUCAGUCUUGAACUAGGCCUUAUCAUGUGCAUAAUAAGUUCAAGGGUUGAGUCUUUCCCGUUUACAAAAAUAUAAAUCUUUUACGAGGAAAUGAAGUAUCAUGGUGUGAAGUAAAGGUCCAAUUCCUGGCCCACACAAGUCCAGCAACGUUUGAAGACCUGCAACAAAAGGAAUAAUCACGUUAGUUUCCUUUUCACGUUCGACAAGAGACAAAGCGUUGAAUACAAUCAGGAAUAGGAAAUCUAAUGUCGGUGGCUGGAGUUAUAAAUAGGGAGGUAGUAAAGGCUUUAAGAUCAUCCGAAAAUACAGACAAUAACGAGCAAGAGAGAAAGAUCAAGAGCAAUAUUAAACAGGCUUCGUUUACUUAUUAACCUUGUGAUCUCUAAUAGUUGAUUGUGAGACUCUUUUGCAUUCUUGAAUAAAAGAUACGUUUUGAUUCAUUGUUAUUCUAAAGCACAAGUUGGAUAGAAUUCCUAACAAGUGGUAUCAGAGCAAUCCAGGUUAGAUUGCAGGUGCUUAAAGGAUGGGGAAAACAAGGAUCGAAAUUGAUAGGUUCGACGGAACCGGAGACUUCUCGCUGUGGAAAGUUCGUAUGAUGGCUCACUUUGGAGUCCUAGGGCUAAAGGACAUCCUAACUGAUGAGAACCUUCUGUUGGAUCCGCCAAAAGAGGAAGCAGAAGGAGAUACGAAGGUCACAGGAGAUGGAACUACGGAAUCAAGCUCAAAGAUCGAUCCCGUUAAACUUGAAAAGUCGGAGAAGGCAAAAGACCUCAUCGUCGUCAACGUAGGUAACCAAGUUCUACGGAAGAUCAGCCACUGUGAAACCGCUGCUGCAAUGUGGACCGCAUUAAACACGUUGUACACAGAAACCUCUUUGCCGAAUCGUAUCUACUUGCAACAUAAGUUCUACACGUUCAAGAUGAACGAUUCCAAGGGCAUAGAUGCAAACGUUGAUGAUUUUCUAAAGUUAGUAGCAGACCUAAGUAACUUGAACGUGGACGUCUCAGAAGAAGUUCAAGCUAUCCUGUUACUAAACUCAAUGCCUCGUAUGUAUGAUCAUCUUAAGGAAACUCUCAAAUACGGUAGAGACACUCUCAAGAUCAAUGAAGUGACAGGUGCCGCGAAGUCAAAAGAACGAGAGUUACUUGAAAGUGGAAAGCUUUCAAAAUCACAAGAUGAAGGGCUGUACGUGGAAGAUAGGGGAAGAUCAUUUAACAAAGGAGGAAACCGAAACGGUAAAGGCAGAUCUAAGAGCAGACACGGACGAUCCAAAUCAAAGCCAAGAUACGAUAAGAACAACAAAGGAUGCUGGACAUGCGGGAAGGAAGGACAUUGGAAACGGGAAUGUCCGGAGAAGAAAACGCAUAGAGCUGCUAAUGUAGCUGAAGAACCUAAGCAGCCAUUUGUACUAACAGUUAGUACACACGACGCCAGUUCAGAAUGGGUCAUGGAUUCUGGUUGUUCUUUCCAUAUUACACCCAACAAAGAUGUUCUGUUUGACCUAGUAGAAUUUGAAGGAGGCAAGGUUUUGAUGGCAAACAACACUCACUGCGACGUCAAAGGGAUUGGCAAGAUAAGGAUUGUGAGACCCGACGGAACCGUGGUUAUUCUUACAGAUGUAAGAUAUAUGCCUAAUAUGAGCAGGAAUCUAAUAUCCUACGGGAUGCUAGAACGAGCAGGUUGCAAAUACGAAGGAAAAGACUUCUUAAUACGUUUCUUCAAAGAUGGGAAAGAGAUUUUAUCCGGUAAGUACCAUGAAGGAUUGUAUUACUUGCAAGGAACAGUUAUGAAAGGGGAAGCAAAUGUGUCAAGGGCAGAAACUGACAAGACAAAAAUAUGGCACUCGCGUCUGGGACACAUGAGCUUAAAGAAUCUGAAUGUGCUCGUGAAAGAUGGAUACUUGUCCAAUAAAGAAGUGGAUAAACUAGAGUUUUGUGAGACCUGUGUUCUGGGAAAGUCCCACAAACAAAGUUUUCCAAUGGCUAAACACACUUCAAAAGGUGUUUUGGAGUACAUGCAUUCUGAUCUAUGGGGCGCGCCAUCAAGCCCUGAGAGUCUAGGAGGAUGCAAGUACUUUAUAAGUUUCAUAGAUGAUUAUUCUCGAAAGGUUUGGAUUUACUUCCUAAAAUCUAAAGAUGAAGCUUUCAGCAAAUUCAAAGAAUGGAAGGAUGCCGUGGAGAACAGCACAGGGAAGAAAAUCAAGUGUCUUAGGACGGACAACGGGUUAGAGUUUUGCAAUAAACAGUUUGACAAACUAUGCAAAGACUCUGGUAUAAAAAGACACAAGACUUGUCCAUACACGCCACAACAAAACGGUGUGUCUGAAAGAAUGAACAGGACAAUCAUGGAGAAGGUGAGAUGCAUGCUCGCAGAAUCUGGGUUAGGCGAAGAAUUCUGGGCUGAAGCUGCAUCAACAGCGGUCUACAUUGUUAACCGAUCACCAAGUUCUGCCAUAGAUUACCGUUUACCAGAAGAAGUAUGGCCAGGUGUAAAACUUGAGUUGAAUCACUUAAGGAGUUUUGGAUGCUCUGCUUAUGUUCAUACUACUCAGGGAAAGACAAGCCCUAGGGCAUUAAAGGGCAUUUUCGUAGGUUACCCAUUCGGGGUAAAAGGAUAUCGAGUGUGGCUGUCUGAAGAGAAAAAAUGUGUCACUAGUAGGAACGUAGUGUUUAACGAGGAAGAGAUGUUUAAGCACACAGUGACCCAUCGAGAAAAAGUAGAAUCAGAAAAGGAGAAAACAAAAAGAGUGACGUUUAAGGAAAACCUAAUAGAUGGCCCUACAUUACUCACUAGUAAAACCGAAGAACCAUUGGUUCAAGGUGGAGCUACUGAAACAGAAGAAUCAGAAAGCUCAGAAGAAACCAGUUCUGUAGAAGAAGAUAAAGACUCAGAAGCAGAACCAGAACUCGAGGGAUAUAUGCUUGCACGAGACAGAGUUCGAAGGACAAUCAAGCCACCUUCAAGGUUUGAAGAUACUGAUUUUGCAGCUUAUGCUUUAGCCGCAUCUGAAGAGAUAGAAAUCGACGAGCCAAAGUCGUUUAAAGAAGCUAUGAUGAGCAAGAAAAGCAAGUUUUGGAAGAAUGCUGCCAGGGAUGAAAUGGAUUCUCUUCAAAGAGCUGGCACAUGGAUACUGAUUGAAAAACCCGAGAAUGCAAAAGUUAUAGGCAGCAAAUGGAUCUUCAAAUUGAAACCUGGAAUACCUGGAGUCGAAGAUCCAAGGUAUAAAGGAAGAUUGGUUGCACAGGGAUUUUCUCAAAAGGAAGGAAUUGACUACAAUGAAGUAUUUUCACCUGUCGUGAAGCAUGUGUCGAUCAGAUUGAUAUUGUCUCUCGUGGUCAACAGGGAUUAUGAGCUUGAGCAGAUGGACGUUAAGACAGCUUUUCUUCAUGGAGAUUUGGAAGAAAGAAUUUUAAUGAAUCAACCAGAAGGAUUCAUAAAGAAAGGAGAUGAAAACAAAGUCUGUUUACUAAAGAAGUCAUUAUAUGGAUUGAAACAAUCUCCAAGGCAAUGGAAUCUUAAGUUUGAUUGUUUCAUGAAGAGCCAGCGGUUUGUAAGAAGCAAGGAAGAUCCAUGUGUUUACAUGAGAAACGUGAACACAGAACAAGCCGUGUACUUACUUCUAUACGUCGACGAUAUGCUUAUAGCUUCGGGAGAUAAACAAGAAAUCAGAAAUGUGAAAGAGAGCUUAAACAAAGAGUUUGAGAUGAAAGACUUAGGAAAAGCUUCAAGGAUAUUGGGAAUGGAUAUCAUAAGAGACCGAAAGAAAGGAACCUUAGUAUUAUCUCAAGAAAAUUACUUGGAGAAGGUUCUGAAUUCGUUUGGGAUGGCUGAAGCAAAGGAAGUGAUUACGCCAACCUCCACUCAAUUUAAAUUGAGGAGUCUUACAAAAGACCAAAAGGAAGAAGAAGGAAGGUACAUGCAAGAUAUACCGUACGCAAGUGCUGUUGGGAGUCUUAUGUACGCCAUGGUCGGUUCAAGACCUGAUUUAGGCUUUGCAGUCGGACUCAUAAGCCGAUUCAUGUCAGAACCAGGAAGGGAGCAUUGGUCAGCUGUUAAGUGGGUUCUAAGAUAUCUAAAAGGUGCUACAAAAAGAUGUCUUACAUUUACUAAACACUCCAAGUUUAGUAUUGAAGGUUUUUGUGAUUCCGACUACUCAACUGACCUUGACAGGAGAAGGUCGGUAACUGGAUAUGUGUUUCAAGUUUGGGGAAACACAGUUAGCUGGAAAUCGAGUUUACAGGAAGUGGUAGCUCUUUCAACGACUGAAGCAGAGUACAUGGCUCUUACCGCAGCCGCGAAAGAAGCCAUAUGGUUAAGAAAGUUAUGUGCAGAGUUGGGUUUUGAACAAGAAAGUGUUAAGAUACACUGCGAUUCACAAAGUGCUAUAGCCCUAGCAAAAAAUCAUGUUCAUCACGAAAGAACUAAACACAUAGACAACAAAUACCACUUCAUAAGAGACGUUGUAGCAGAAGGCAAGGUUCACCUAUCUAAGAUCCAUACUAGUAAGAAUCCAGCAGAUUUCUUAACUAAAGCCGUACCUGGGCCUAAGUUUGAUCUCUGUUGUGAUCUCUUAAACAUCGCCUAGAAGGGCUAGGCGCCACAGGUAACGUCAUUGUUGUAACCUCGCCACAGAAGAAAUAAUGAGUUGAGCACUCCGGUUAUUUCUUAAACAACAAUAAAGGGACUUUAGAGUUCCAAGGAAACGUUACCUAUGGGGAAGGAGAGGU
rnacentral:lncRNA from 1 species